ACCUGGGUGGCUCAGUCGGUUGAGCAUCUGACUUUGGCUCAGGUCACGAUCUCACUGUUUGUGAGUUUGAGCCCCGCAUCGGGUU
rfam:Felis catus isolate Cinnamon breed Abyssinian chromosome E2, whole genome shotgun sequence.